AUUGAACGCUGGCGGCAUGCCUUACACAUGCAAGUCGAACGGCAGCACGGGGGCAACCCUGGUGGCGAGUGGCGAACGGGUGAGUAAUACAUCGGAACGUGCCCCGUAGCGGGGGACAACCAGUCGAAAGACUGGCUAAUACCGCAUACGCUCCACGGAGGAAAGCAGGGGAUCGCAAGACCUUGCACUAUGGGGAGCGGCCGAUGCCCGAUUAGCUAGUUGGUGAGGUAAAGGCUCACCAAGGCAACGAUCGGUAGCUGGUCUGAGAGGACGACCAGCCACACUGGGACUGAGACACGGCCCAGACUCCUACGGGAGGCAGCAGUGGGGAAUUUUGGACAAUGGGCGCAAGCCUGAUCCAGCCAUGCCGCGUGCGGGAAGAAGGCCUCGGUU
rnacentral:rRNA from 1 species